rnacentral:rRNA from 1 species
AUUAGCCAUGCAUGUCUAAGUUCAAGCGAAAAUAAAGUGAAACCGCGAAUGGCUCAUUACAUCAGUUAUGGUUCCUUAGAUCGCACUUACUACUUGGAUAACUGUGGUAAUUCUAGAGCUAAUACAUGCACUGAGCUCCAACCCUCGUGGAAGGAGCGCUUUUAUUAGAUCAAAGCCAAUCGGGCCUUCGGGUCCGUCUUGUUGGUGACUCUGAAUAACUUUGCUGAUCGUAUGGUCUCGUACCGACGACGUAUCUUUCAAGUGUCUGCCUUAUCAACUGUCGAUGGUAGGUUAUGCGCCUACCAUGGUUGUAACGGGUAACGGGGAAUCAGGGUUCGAUUCCGGAGAGGGAGCCUGAGAAACGGCUACCACAUCCAAGGAAGGCAGCAGGCGCGCAAAUUACCCACUCCCGGCACGGGGAGGUAGUGACGAAAAAUAACGAUACGGAACUCUAACGAGGCUCCGUAAUCGGAAUGAGUACACUUUAAAUCCUUUAACGAGGAUCUAUUGGAGGGCAAGUCUGGUGCCAGCAGCCGCGGUAAUUCCAGCUCCAAUAGCGUAUAUUAAAGUUGUUGCGGUUAAAAAGCUCGUAGUUGGAUCUCGGUUUCGGGCGGAUGGUGCACUUUUGGGUGUUUACUGUCUGCCCGGACGAUUUUGUCAGUUCGUUCGUGGUUCUCUUAACCGAGUGCCACGGGUGGCUGACACGUUUACUUUGAAAAAAUUGGAGUGCUCAAAGCAGGCGCUACAGCCUGAACAUUAGUGCAUGGAAUAAUGGAAUAGGAUCUCGGUUCUAUUUCGUUGGCUUUCGGAGUCGAGGUAAUGAUUAAUAGGAACAGACGGGGGCAUUAGUACUGCGACGUUAGAGGUGAAAUUCUUGGAUCGUCGCAAGACUAACUACUGCGAAAGCAUUUGCCAAGAAUGUUUUCAUUAAUCAAGAACGAAAGUUAGAGGUUCGAAGGCGAUCAGAUACCGCCCUAGUUCUAACCAUAAACGAUGCCGACCGGCGAUCCGCUGUCGUUAAUUGAAUGACUCAGCGGGCAGCCUCCGGGAAACCAGAGUCUUUGGGUUCCGGGGGAAGUAUGGUUGCAAAGCUGAAACUUAAAGGAAUUGACGGAAGGGCACCACCAGGAGUGGAGCCUGCGGCUUAAUUUGACUCAACACGGGAAAUCUCACCAGGCCCGGACACCGGAAGGAUUGACAGAUUGAGAGCUCUUUCUUGAUUCGGUGGGUGGUGGUGCAUGGCCGUUCUUAGUUGGUGGAGCGAUUUGUCUGGUUAAUUCCGAUAACGAACGAGACUCUGACCUAUUAACUAGAUGCUAGAUCCCAUUGUGGGUCUGACACAGCUUCUUAGAGGACGGCGCGUAGCG